rnacentral:rRNA from 1 species
UAGGGACUCUUCCGCAAUGGGCGAAAGCCUGACGGAGCAACGCCGCGUGAGUGAUGAAGGUCUUCGGAUCGUAAAACUCUGUUAUUAGGGAAGAACAAAUGUGUAAGUAACUAUGCACGUCUUGACGGUACCUAAUCAGAAAGCCACGGCUAACUACGUGCCAGCAGCCGCGGUAAUACGUAGGUGGCAAGCGUUAUCCGGAAUUAUUGGGCGUAAAGCGCGCGUAGGCGGUUUUUUAAGUCUGAUGUGAAAGCCCACGGCUCAACCGUGGAGGGUCAUUGGAAACUGGAAAACUUGAGUGCAGAAGAGGAAAGUGGAAUUCCAUGUGUAGCGGUGAAAUGCGCAGAGAUAUGGAGGAACACCAGUGGCGAAGGCGACUUUCUGGUCUGUAACUGACGCUGAUGUGCGAAAGCGGGGGGAUCAAACAGG